ensembl:lncRNA
AUGGCAGGUCUGUGUUCAGCUGGAUAUUACUGCUCAGGAGGAGCUGCCGAUGCCGUUCCGCACAGGACACCCAGGCUGCCAUUCAAUGGGCCCUGUCCACCUGGACAUUACUGUCCGGAGGGCACUCAGUUCCCAGUCGCCUGCCCAGUGGGCACCCUGAAUAAUGCCACAGGUGGCUCCUCCCAAGACAGCUGUGUGUCAUGCUAUCCUGGAUCCUUCUGCGCUAGCAUCGGUCUGAGCUCACCUACAGGACCCUGUGCUGCAGGAUUCUACUGCCCAGCGAACUUCAGCUCCUUCAGCCCCACUGCAUUCCUCUGCCCCAAGGGUCACUUCUGUUCCUCUGGGUCUGCCCAUCCAGCCCCCUGCCCAACCGGGGAGUACCAGCCAAACAGGGGUUCUGAGUCCUGCAUUCCUUGCCCACCAGGCUUCUACUGCAAAGAGGCAGUUGCAGGAGACCCCCAACCCUGCCCUCCACACUCCUACUGUCCUGAAAGUACACUGGUUCCUUCUCCAUGUCCCGAUGGCACGUUCACCCCUCCAGACAUGACUGGCCUCAGGGAGGAGAGAGAAUGCCUGGCCUGUUCACCUGGUCACUACUGCAGGGGUGGGCGGCUGGAGGGGAAGUGUGCUGCUGGGUACUUCUGCCAGACCGGGAGUUCUGAGUCUACUGCCCUGGGCCAUGAUUUUCCCUGGAACUCCCUGACAGAAUGCCGCUGGGGGCAGGUGCGUGCGGGUCUCUGCCCAGCAGGUUUCUACUGCCAGGAAGGCUCUGAGGUGCCCACGCCAUGCCCCCCCAACACCAUUGGAGCUAUCCCAGGGGCAAGGCGGAGAGAAGACUGCCUACCCUGUCCACCAGGCCACUGGUGUAAAGCAGGGGAUCCAGUGACCUAUCCGUGCCCCCCUGGACACUACUGUGGCAGCAUGAAUCUCACCGAGCCCAUCACUCUCUUGGCACCUCAGCAAUGCCCUGAGCACACUUACCGCACAGCCCCAGGAGCAAAGAGCCUGGCGGAUUGCCAGCCUUGCCCCCCAGGUUAUCUCUGCCAAACACCAGGCCUUACCAGUUUUGAAGACUACCCUUGCCCCCCUGGAUACUGGUGCCCAAGUAAAGGGGGCAGGCUUUUAUGCCCACCUGGUACCUUCAGGACCCAGCCUGGUGCAGCAUCUUUGGAAGAGUGUGACCCCUGCUCUCCUGGCUAUUAUUGCCCAGACCCAGCAGAGACGGGGCUGCCCAAUGUCCAAGGAGCUCUUUGCCAACCCGGCUACGAGUGCCCACCAGGUUCAGUGACGCCAACCAUAUGCAGGGGUGGAUCCUAUUGCGGGCUCCGCACGGGGGUCCCUUCUAUGUGUCCAGGUGGAUAUUAUUGUCCAGAAGGAUCAUCCAGGUACAACACCCCCGAGCAGCUGUGUGUGUUCCCCUAUUACUGCCCUCCAGGCAGUGCCCAUCCACUGCUCUGCAAGGGAGGAUAUGCAGCCCUGAAUGUGACCGGCCCAAGGGACUCCUUUGAGAAAUGCUGCAGGAUUUGUGAUCCGGGUACCUACCAUAGUGACUCCCUCAUCAGCCCAUCCUGCCAGCCCUGCCCAUCAGGCUUCAGUUGCCCCCAAGGUGGAGGAGCGCUGUGCUCCUGGGGAAGUCCGUCUGGCAUCCACACGCAAAUGCAUUUCUCCCGAACUAUACGACUGUUCUGCGUUCUGUGGUGCGCUGGGCGGAGAACUGAGUGCAGAGUUGGGCAUGUGUCGCUGUGAGCAGUACAUCUCCGCUGAAGAGCUGUGUGACCGAGAGUGCUUGCUGAACACCCCACAGAUCUCUCUGAGCCUUGGCAUCCAUUCAGAGCUCCUACUGAGUGUUGGGGAAGGAGAGGACAGAGUGAGUUGAGACAGGCUGGGCCCUGCUCCCCAGGUGAUGUGAGGCUGGAGAAAGCUCAUAGAUUGCAGCCAGAUAAGAGGAUUGUGCUGGGUUCGAAGGUAGGGUGUUGGUGCGAUGUGGAGGAGCCAGACUGUGCACAGAAAGAAGGGAGUGGCUCCGUACUGUACAGAGGACGUGGAAUAUGGAGAAGGUG